rnacentral:misc_RNA from 1 species
GAUGAAGAACGCAGCGAAAUGCGAUAAGUAAUGUGAAUUGCAGAAUUCAGUGAAUCAUCGAAUCUUUGAACGCACAUUGCGCCCGCCAGUAUUCUGGCGGGCAUGCCUGUUCGAGCGUCAUUUCAACCAUCAAGCCCCAGGCUUGUGUUGGGGACCUGCGGCUGCCGCAGGCCCUGAAAACCAGUGGCGGGCUCGCUGUCACACCGGGCGUAGUAGAUUUUAUCUCGCUCAGGGCGUGCUGCGGGUUCCGGCCGUUAAAAAGCCUUUUUUACCCAAGGUUGACCUCGGAUCAGGUAGGAAGACCCGCUGAACUUAAGCAUAUAAAUAAGCGGAGGA